rnacentral:lncRNA from 1 species
CGACCUAAGCAACUACUGCAACAACAGUUCCCUACGCGGCUACGAACUAAGCUCACUCGUUUACCCGAUAGCUCUGUUCACUGCUACGUUCCUAGCUCCAGUUUGACUUUAGCUACGACCUCAUAACUACUAGUUCUCUUAAAACAUAAACUCAUUCAUAACAAUGUCAGCACAUUGGGAUUAUGGUUUAUAAUUGAUCCAUAAUAGGUCCUCCAUCAGUCUAUUAUCUGACUACCGUUUGUUUAACUCAACAACAGCAACUGCGUUGCCUUACUUGGCUGGAAGUACAAGAAGGCGCAUAGCUUGUUAGGAAUUAGCUGGCUUAGAGAUGAGAAGAUUGAUUAGUAGUUCUAUUACAUAACUCGGGCGUACCUGCUUGCUUACCCGCUCACUCGAACUGUAGUUCUCAUUCACUUCUCCUAGCUUUUUAAAACAACCUGAUCGGGACUUCUCUGAGUUUCCUCUUUCGGUCGUAGAUCACUGAACUAUGCGCCUAUCUUCACUUUUCGAUUAGCCGUAGCUCCCCGUUCACUUAGCCUACGAACUACUACCCGGCUCACUCGAACAAGAACUCCAGCUUGGCUCACUUCUGGCUCGCUUAGCUCUAGCUCGAAACAGCCAACUCACUUUGCCUACACAACGAAGAGAAGUAGUUUACUUGCUUGCUUGCUUAGCUCGAAAAUGCCAACAGCAUUCCGUUCACUUACGUCAUUUACUUGUUAGCUAGCGCUAUUC